GAAUUUUAUAUAAAUUUUUUUAAAAAAAUAAUUAAAAAAAAUUUAUAUUUGGUUGGGAGGAUUGUUAAAUUAUUUAAACUUUAAUUAUUAUAAAAUAUUAAUUAUUAAAUUAUAGAAUUAUAAUAAAAUAAUAUAAGAAAUAAUUACCUUAGGGAUAACAGCGUAAUAUUUUUAGAAAGAUCAUAUUAAUAAAAAUGAUUGC
rnacentral:rRNA from 1 species